rnacentral:rRNA from 1 species
UACGUAGGGUGCGAGCGUUAAUCGGAAUUACUGGGCGUAAAGCGUGCGCAGACGGUUGCGUAAGUCAGAUGUGAAAGCCCCGGGCUCAACCUGGGAAUUGCAUUUGAAACUACAAGGCUAGAGUGUGGCAGAGGGGGGUGGAAGUUCCACGUGUAGCAGUGAAAUGCGUAGAGAUGUGGAGGAACACCGAUGGCGAAGGCAGCCCCCUGGGUUAACACUGACGCUCAGGCACGAAAGCGUGGGGAGCAAACAGG